rnacentral:rRNA from 1 species
GACGAACGCUGGCGGCGUGCUUAACACAUGCAAGUCGAACGGAAAGGCCCCUUUGGGGGUACUCGAGUGGCGAACGGGGGAGUAACACGUGAGUAACCUGCCCUGGACUUCGGGAUAACUUCAGGAAAAUGGGGCCAAUACCGGAAAGGAAUCUGUGCUGCAUGGUGGGGGUUGGAAAGCUUCGGCGGUUUUGGAUGGACUCGCGGCUGAUCAGCUUGUUGGUGGGGUAGUGGCUUACCAAGGCGUUGACGGGUAGCCGGCCUGAGAGGGCGACCGGCCACAUUGGGACUGAGAUACGGCCCAGACGCCUACGGGUGGCAGCAGUGGGGAAUCUUGCUCCAUGGGCGGCAGCCUGAUGCAGCAACGCCGCGUGCGGGAUGACGGCCUUCGGGUUGUAAACCGCUUUCAGCAGGGGCGAAGCUUGUGGUGACGGUACCUGCAGAAGAAGCACCGGCUAACUACGUG